AAAAAAUGUCUGACAGAAAGUGCCGGAAGCUCCGGAAGUAUCCUUUUCGUUGUGGUUGGAUGCAGAAAACGGUAGAUUAUUGGCCGCUGUGUUAUGUAAGGAUGUCAAUAUGGAUCACGGAAGAUCCUAGCAACCUAUCGCGUCUGGCCAAACUACUGCGAUUCCAUUCCAACGUGCUGAUACCACAUUAACUCCAGUCGUCCAACAGUAAGAGCUAAAAUCAGGAAUGCCCUGUUCGCCUUCGUCUUUCAACCUUGCAGUGCGCUACCGUUUCCAAUGCUUCGCUGGACCAACCAAAGGAACGUCUUAGCUUUGCUAACGCCCACUAGAAGAUCCACGCCUCUAUAGAAAAUUUAUACCAAUUAUCAACAACCAGAAACCAGCAUGGCUCGAGUAUGUUUGAAAUCGACUGCUCCACGACCACGAACAUAACAACAACGCCUCCUGUCCUACAGGCAAAUAUAUCUCAGAUUAAAAAAAUCGACCAGGUACACAAGCAGAAAGAAAGUCUUUUAAAUAACGAUUGCUAAGACAAAAUAAUAUUGUGUUGUUUUACUUGCAAUGUUAAACUGACAGCAUAAUGUAUUUCAAUGAGUGUUGACACUUUUUAAUCCGGAAAACUCCGAACUUUUUAAUCCAGAGAGCUCCGAGAUCCGGACUAACGAGUCAUUGGAUUAGCAAAGGCCGGAUAAGCGGGGGAUACUGUAUAUUGAAUCUAAUAAUAAAUCAGAAUUCGAAUGAAAUCUACAGUAUAUUUCUUUGUUUCACAAUCUAUUCU